AUGGGCCUGAGGACACCUGCUCAUUUACUGGGGCUUCUGCUGCUCUGGCUGCCAGGUAUGAGAUGUGACAUUCAGAUGACCCAGACUCCACCAUUUAUGUCUGUAUCUCUGGGAGACAGAGUCACCAUCAAUUGUCAGGCGAGCGAGAACAUUUAUAGAUAUUUAGCCUGGUACCAACAGAAACCAGGGGCAGCUCCUAAGCUCCUCAUCUAUGGUGCAUCCAGUUUGGAAGAUGGGGUUCCAUCAAGGUUCAGUGGCAGUGGAUCUGGGACACAAUAUUCUUUCACUAUCAGCAGCCUGGACCCUGAGGAUGUUGCCACUUAUUACUGUCAACAGGGUUAUAAAUUUCCCACAGUGAUACAGUUCAUAACAUAA